CCCCGAGGAAAAGAAAUCAACCGAGAUUCCCCCAGUAGCGGCGAGCGAACGGGGAGGAGCCCAGAGCCUGAAUCAGUGUGUGUGUUAGUGGAAGCGUCUGGAAAGGCGCGCGAUACAGGGUGACAGCCCCGUACACAAAAAUGCACAUAUUGUGAGCUCGAUGAGUAGGGCGGGACACGUGGUAUCCUGUCUGAAUAUGGGGGGACCAUCCUCCAAGGCUAAAUACUCCUGACUGACCGAUAGUGAACCAGUACCGUGAGGGAAAGGCGAAAAGAACCCCGGCGAGGGGAGUGAAAAAGAACCUGAAACCGUGUACGUACAAGCAGUGGGAGCCUCUUAAUGGGGUGACUGCGUACCUUUUGUAUAAUGGGUCAGCGACUUAUAUUCUGUAGCAAGGUUAACCGAAUAGGGGAGCCGAAGGGAAACCGAGUCUUAACUGGGCGUUAAGUUGCAGGGUAUAGACCCGAAACCCGGUGAUCUAGCCAUGGGCAGGUUGAAGGUUGGGUAACACUAACUGGAGGACCGAACCGACUAAUGUUGAAAAAUUAGCGGAUGACUUGUGGCUGGGGGUGAAAGGCCAAUCAAACCGGGAGAUAGCUGGUUCUCCCCGAAAGCUAUUUAGGUAGCGCCUCGUGAAUUCAUCUCCGGGGGUAGAGCACUGUUUCGGCAAGGGGGUCAUCCCGACUUACCAACCCGAUGCAAACUGCGAAUACCGGAGAAUGUUAUCACGGGAGACACACGGCGGGUGCUAACGUCCGUCGUGAAGAGGGAAACAACCCAGACCGCCAGCUAAGGUCCCAAAGUCAUGGUUAAGUGGGAAACGAUGUGGGAAGGCCCAGACAGCCAGGAUGUUGGCUUAGAAGCAGCCAUCAUUUAAAGAAAGCGUAAUAGCUCACUGGUCGAGUCGGCCUGCGCGGAAGAUGUAACGGGGCUAAACCAUGCACCGAAGCUGCGGCAGCGACGCUUAUGCGUUGUUGGGUAGGGGAGCGUUCUGUAAGCCUGUGAAGGUGUGCUGUGAGGCAUGCUGGAGGUAUCAGAAGUGCGAAUGCUGACAUAAGUAACGAUAAAGCGGGUGAAAAGCCCGCUCGCCGGAAGACCAAGGGUUCCUGUCCAACGUUAAUCGGGGCAGGGUGAGUCGACCCCUAAGGCG
rnacentral:rRNA from 1 species